rnacentral:rRNA from 1 species
GUGGGGAAUAUUGCACAAUGGGCGCAAGCCUGAUGCAGCCAUGCCGCGUGUGUGAAGAAGGCCUUCGGGUUGUAAAGCACUUUCAGCGGGGAGGAAGGCGGUGAGGUUAAUAACCUCAUCGAUUGACGUUACCCGCAGAAGAAGCACCGGCUAACUCCGUGCCAGCAGCCGCGGUAAUACGGAGGGUGCAAGCGUUAAUCGGAAUUACUGGGCGUAAAGCGCACGCAGGCGGUCUGUCAAGUCGGAUGUGAAAUCCCCGGGCUCAACCUGGGAACUGCAUUCGAAACUGGCAGGCUAGAGUCUUGUAGAGGGGGGUAGAAUUCCAGGUGUAGCGGUGAAAUGCGUAGAGAUCUGGAGGAAUACCGGUGGCGAAGGCGGCCCCCUGGACAAAGACUGACGCUCAGGUGCGAAAGCGUGGGGAGCAAACAGGAUUAGAUACCCGAGUAGUCC